UUACGGUCACAUCACAUUGAAACACUAGUUCCCGUACGAUAACAAAGGUUAAGCAAUGUUGAAGUUGGUCAGUACCUAGAUGGGUGACCACUUGGGAAUACCAGGUGCUGUAAG